rnacentral:miRNA from 1 species
UUAGCCGCUGUCACACGCACAGUGGAGUCUAUAACAGCACAAUGUGCGUUAGUCAGUGGCUC